CGUUUGAGAACGAGAGUGUCGUGCAUGGUAGCCGGCGUGGUGACGUUGCGCAGCGAAGGAUUUGUUUUGGAGAGCGCUUGCUUGGAUUUUCCACGCAAAUAUCCAGGUCACCAUGAUCACCGACAUCCAACUGGCUGUCUUUGCAAACGCCCUCGGGGUAUCCUUGUUUCUCCUGGUGGUUCUGUACCACUACCUGUCUGUAAACAACCCAAAGAAGAGUGAUUAGGGAUAAUGUGCGACUGGUGUGCUUUCAUCUGGACUGUGCCUGCAUCUGCUUUGACCCGACUUCCUUGUAGAGUGAAACUCACCAGACUUCAACUAAUCAUGCGAGUGUGUGUGCUGUAAAUAAAUGAUGUGCACUCUUUCCUGA
rnacentral:lncRNA from 1 species